rnacentral:tRNA from 1 species
UCCUCGGUAGUAUAAUGGUUAGUAUCCCCGCCUGUCACGCGGGAGACCGGGGUUCGAUUCCCCGUCGGGGAG